UACGUAGGGGGCAAGCGUUGUCCGGAAUCAUUGGGCGUAAAGAGCGUGUAGGCGGCCCGAUAAGUCCGCUGUGAAAGUCCAGGGCUCAACCCUGGGAUGCCGGUGGAUACUGUCGGGCUCGAGUCCGGAAGAGGAGUGUGGAAUUCCUGGUGUAGCGGUGAAAUGCGCAGAUAUCUGGAGGAACACCGGUGGCGAAGGCGGCAUCCUGGACCAUUACUGACGCUGAUCCGCGAAAGCUAGGGGAGCAAACGGG
rnacentral:rRNA from 1 species